UUUCAGCGUAUGGGGCGUUACUUUCAGACCCAUCACUGAGCCAGCGCCCCCGGCAGGGUUUUGGAGGGGGGACGCUGAUGUGCAAAUGACCCGAGACCUCAAUUUCUCAUUAUCAUUGAAAAUAUUUGAUGCAGAACCAGGGGAUGUUCCACCUUGGGCAGCUACAUUCCCUCUCCUGAAUUCCCCCUGCCAGCUCAGCUGAACAGUGAGUCCCCCCUUUCCCAUUACAGCCGUGCUGCUCUGCACUGGAACCAGCGCCCAUGCUCCAGCCCAGAUGCAGCUGCAUUUCAGUGCUGGGGGAGUGACCCUGUGGUGUCUGCUUUCUGCAGCGCUCUUUGGGAUCCAUCAUGUGGCCACAAAAGUUACUUAUUGUGAUGCUGGAGAAUCAGGAUUCAGAAGUUCCCUGAGCUUGGGGCAGCUGAAGGGCAGGGGAAAUGCAGCACUAGAAACCCUGAGCUCCCUGCGUGUGUCCUGUGACUUUAGCCCGGGCGUCUGACCUCAGUCUCUGCUCCUAGGUGACGUGCUGACAAAGCUCUUCUGGGGCUGGAGGUUUUUUGGUGGGAACCUCUAUUACUUUUCACAAGAAAGGAAGUCGUGGGAUGAGGCCGAGCGGUUCUGUGUGUCUCAGGACUCGCACCUGACCUCUGUCUCCUCCCAGGCAGAACAGGAGUUUCUCUCCAAUGAGACCGAGGGAGAAGAUCACUGGAUUGGACUCACCGACCAGGAGACAGAAGGCAGCUGGCGCUGGGUGGAUGGCACAGAAUACAGAGAAGACACAAGCAGGGGGUUCUGGGAGGAGAAUCAGCCAGACAACUGGCAUCAGGGGAUAGGCGGCAGAGAAGACUGUGUUGAGACCCGCACAUUGGAGCUGAAGUGGUGGAAUGAUGCCAACUGCACUCAGCUUUCUAAGUGGAUUUGUAAGCAGGCCCAUGGACCGGCUGGGCUGUGACAUGCAGGUCCCAGCACCUCAGAAAGUGGCUUAAUUUCCAAGCUAUGGAGCAUGUUUCCCAGCCACCUGCCGAUGAGGAGCCCUGUGCACUGGAGGGGCCGCAUGGGAUGUGCA